rnacentral:rRNA from 1 species
GACGGGGACCCGCACAAGCGGUGGGAUGAUGUGGUUUAAUUCGAUGCAACGCGAAAAACCUUACCUACCUUUGACAUGUACGGAACUCGCCAGAGAUGGCUUGGUGCUCGAAAGAGAGCCGUAACACAGGUGCUGCAUGGCUGUCGUCAGCUCGUGUCGUGAGAUGUUGGGUUAAGUCCCGCAACGAGCGCAACCCUUGUCAUUAGUUGCUACAUUUAGUUGGGCACUCUAAUGAGACUGCCGGUGACAAACCGGAGGAAGGUGGGGAUGACGUCAAGUCCUCAUGGCCCUUAUAGGUAGGGCUACACACGUCAUACAAUGGCUGGUACAAAGGGUUGUCAACCCGCGAGGGGGAGCUAAUCCCAUAAAGCCAGUCGUAGUCCGGAUCGCAGUCUGCAACUCGACUGCGUGAAGUCGGAAUCGCUAGUAAUCGUGGAUCAGAAUGUCACGGUGAAUACGUUCCCGGGUCUUGUACACACCGCCCGUCACACCAUGGGAGCGGGUUCUGCCAGAGGUAGUUAGCCUAACCGCAGGGAGGGCGAUUACCACGGCAGGGUUCGUGACUGGGGUGAAGUCGUAACAAGGUAACC